rnacentral:tRNA from 1 species
UCCGGGGUAGCUCAGUUGGCAGAGCAACCGGCUGUUAACCGGUUUGUCGUGGGUUCGAGCCCCACCCCCGGAG